UUAACACAUGCAAGGUCGAACGAAGAGAAGAGAAGCUUGCUUUUCUGAUCUAGUGGCGGACGGGUGAGUAACACGUGAGCAAUCUGCCUUUCAGAGGGGGAUACCGAUUGGAAACGAUCGUUAAUACCGCAUAACAUAAUUGAACCGCAUGAUUUGAUUAUCAAAGAUUUAUCGCUGAAAGAUGAGCUCGCGUCUGAUUAGCUAGUUGGUAAGGUAACGGCUUACCAAGGCGACGAUCAGUAGCCGGACUGAGAGGUUGAUCGGCCACAUUGGGACUGAGACACGGCCCAGACUCCUACGGGAGGCAGCAGUGGGGAAUAUUGCACAAUGGAGGAAACUCUGAUGCAGCGAUGCCGCGUGAGGGAAGAAGGUUUUAGGAUUGUAAACCUCUGUCUUCAGGGACGAAAAAUGACGGUACCUGAGGAGGAAGCUCCGGCUAACUACGUGCCAGCAGCCGCGGUAAUACGUAGGGAGCGAGCGUUGUCCGGAAUUACUGGGUGUAAAGGGAGCGUAGGCGGGAUCGCAAGUCAGAUGUGAAAACUAUGGGCUUAACCCAUAAACUGCAUUUGAAACUGUGGUUCUUGAGUGAAGUAGAGGUAAGCGGAAUUCCUAGUGUAGCGGUGAAAUGCGUAGAUAUUAGGAGGAACAUCAGUGGCGAAGGCGGCUUACU
rnacentral:rRNA from 1 species